GCCCCCAUAGCUUAACCCAAAAAG
rnacentral:tRNA from 1 species